rnacentral:lncRNA from 10 species
GUGAGAGUAACUCGUUACAGUUGAGACCUCUCACUCCCGGUCAUUAUCUCAUUUCAAUCCAAGAGGUAGACUUCUUCAUCGCCCCUGACAUACACAUGAGGAAAAGGCCCAGAGAGGUGAAGUGAUGCCUCAGGUCACUCAGCCAGUUACCAGUAGAGCAGAUCCUUCAAUGCAAGUUUUUCUCCAACCCUACACAGCAGUCGUACCAGGGCCCCAGGCUGCAAUCCCCUGGCCCAGUGCUGAUCGGUGGCUCCCAGGGACACGCCCUGAUGCCAGCGCUGGCAGAUGUCUGCUGUGAAGAGAGCAGGAAACUGUCCCUUGGAAAGCUGAGAUGCUUACCUGAACUGUGAAAGUAUCCAUAUGUGAGCAGCUAAGGAGACAGCAGUGGCUGGAGUGCUGCAGCUCAGGCACAGCUGGUGAGAGGCAUUCCUCACUCACAGGCCUUCACCCACUGCUAGAGACAGUGAGCCCCAUCCUGACCACUUCCCCUUUCUAGUCAGCCCACGGGGCAGAGACCCUGGCGUCAUCUCUAGGCAACCAUCCCUUUUCCAGGGAAGCUCAUGACCCACGGCUGUCCAGAAGCCAGAAUCUUCUCACUGCCCCGUGUCGCUCCCGCAAGGCCUACCAGAGGACCCUCAUGGUGUGGUAGGGGGUCCUGGCAGGGGCCAGGGGCCAGGGUGGAGACUUGGCAGUGGGGGUGGGUUUGGUGUCCCCACAGACGAGUUUGCCGUGAGCAUUCCUGGAUGUGGCAACCUCAGUCUCAAGAAGAGCGACAGGACGCCAGCUCCCAUGCAGAGACAGAUCCAGGCCUCCUGGAGUCACAAAGCCUGGAGCAACAGGAGAACCACUAAAGAAGACGGAACAGCUAGUUCCUGCCUUAAUGAUUAACCGACCUUGCAACAGUCCACCUUGUGAUAUGUUCCUGCCCUUCCCCAACUAAUCCAUCCACCUUGUGAUAUGUUCCUGCCCUUCCCCAACUAAUCCAUCCACCUUGUGAUAUGUUCCUGCCCUUCCCCAACUAAUCCAUCCACCAUUGUGACAUGUUCCUGCCCUUCCCCAACUAAUCCAUCCACCAUUGUGACAUGUUCCUGCCCUUCCCCAACUAAUCCAUCCACCUUGUGAUAUGUUCCUGCCCUUCCCCAACUAAUCCAUCCACCUUGUGAUUGUUCCUGCCCUUCCCCAACUAAUCCAUCCACCACUGUGAUAUGUUCCUGCCCUACCCUAACUAAUCCAUCCACCACUGUGACAUGUUCCUGCCCUACCCUAACUAAUCCAUCCACCUUGUGAUAUGUUCCUUCCCUACCCUAACUAAUCCAUCCACCUUGUGAUAUGUUCCUGCCCUUCCCCAACUAAUCCAUCCACCACUGUGACAUGUUCCUGCCCUACCCUAACUAAUCCAUCCACCUUGUGAUAUGUUCCUUCCCUACCCUAAUUAAUCCAUCCACCUUGUGAUAUGUUCCUGCCCUUCCCCAACUAAUCCAUCCACCUUGUGAUAUCGUGCCUUAUGACUUCCCCCACCUUGUGACUAUGCACCUUGUAACAUUCUUCCCCUGCCCAAAAAAACUGCCCCUAACUGUAACUUUCCACUACCUACCCCAAACCUAUAGAACCAGUUCCACUCCCACCACCCUUCGCUGACUCCUUUCUCUGACUCAGCCCACUUG